rnacentral:rRNA from 1 species
AUCUAAGCGGGAAGCCUGCUUCGAGAUGAGUAUUCCCACCCACUUGAUGGGGUAAGGCUCCCAGUAGACGACUGGGUUGAUAGGCCGGAUGUGGAAGCCCUGUAAGGGGUGGAGCUGACCGGUACUAAUAGGCCGAGGGCUUGUCCUCAGUUG